AUGGAGCCCUCAGUGGGAUGAGGGUGAAACUGCUAUUGCCUGCUUCUGCUGUGUUCCCGCCUCAGCAUGCUGGUGCAUUUAUUUCGGGUCGGGAUUCGGGGUGGCCCAUUCCCAGGCAGGCUGCUACCGCCCCUCCGCUUCCAGACAUUCUCAGCUGUCAGUGACACUCCAGUCGCCAGCAGGAGGCUCCUGCGUCUGCAGCCGCGUGUCAGCCAGAAGGAGGGGACGCUCGGGGUCAGUGACCACGCCCAGUCAGCACUCCCGACCAGGGGUCGCCUUUCCUGGCCCUGGAGAAACACAUGGCGUAAUGGGAAAACUGGACAGUUACACAAGGCAGAAGGAGACUGUGGAGAGGGAGCAUGUGUCAUGGCGCCCCAGGCCAGGGAGGGGAGGUAGGGUAAUGGGCCUGGGACAUCAGAAGACAUGGCACGCUGGCAGAGUAGAGCCAGCCUGGGUGCUGGAGUCAGACUUCAGACUUGGUUCCCUGCUCGUCCCAGUUCUGCUGCCUGGGGACAAGUUAUUUCAGCUCUCUUAG
rnacentral:sRNA from 1 species